GAAUCUUUACGGUUCCGGCUGUGAGGUCCGCACGGGUGGCACCGAUUCCUCUUCAUAGAGGCCCUGAGGUGGACGGAGUCGUGGGAGGACGCAGGGAGCCCGGUUCGCCAGCGUCGCAGCUCGCCUGGCCCAGUCUGAGCGAAGAGCGAGGCAGGAAGCCACAAUGACUGGCAACUCUGUGGUUGUAUGCAACAUAAGGAUAUCUUCAGCGAGCACUCAUAUUUUAAGAGGCAUUGUGUAAACUGGAAACUCAAGGAACCCCUGUGACUCUCAUCAGUGUGGAGUGCACCCUCCCACGAGACAGGAGCUUUCUCUGUAGAAUCAGCUUGUAGGAGACUUUAAUGUGAUCCCCAAUGUUACUCACCAGAAAACAGGCUUGUGGGACAAAUCUGUUGAAUGCACCAACUUCCUUAAUCAGUUAUAUUUUAAGGCACAUAUGAGAAUCCAUAAUGGAAAAAAAUUCUUUGAAUUGACUCAAUUUUCAGGAGAUUUUACAUGUUCUACAAGGGGAGUUCUGCCUAUCAAAUGUACACCAUAAAAGCCUUUGAAUGUAAAAUUUGUGGGAAAGUCUCUGGGUAUUCUUUAAGUCUUAAUAGUCACCUGCAAACCCACACUGGGGAGAAACAUUAUGAAUGUAAAAUAUGUAAAAAAUUCUUCACUACUUCUUCAAGUCUAACUGAACACUUCAAACUAGAGAGAAACCCUAUAAAUGUAAGGAAUAUGGAAACACUUUUACUAAGCACUCAGGACUUUCUUCACGUGUAUAAACACAUUCGGGAAAGAAGUCUUGUGUAUGCAAGUUAUGUGGGAGAUCCUUCAUGAUUCCUUCAAAUAUGACUGAGCAUUUCAGAAUUCAUACUGGAGAGAAACCCUACCAAAGUAAAGAAUGUGGGAAAGCCAUCCAUGCAUCUUCAUAAGCAUCUAAGAACACAUACCAGAGAAACCCUAUAAAUGUGAGAAGCGUGGGAAAGCCUUCCAUACCUCCUCCUACCUACGGAAACAUGUAAGAACUCACAGUGCAGAGAAACCUUAUGAAUGUAGGGAAUGUGGCAAAGCCUACAAAAGGUGUUAUCUAUUGCAUGAACAUUUAAAAACUCACAUGGUAGAGAAACCCUUUGGUUGCAAGGUAUGUUGGAAAGUCUUUUGAACGUUCUGCAUGCUGUAAUAAGCACAUUCAUCCUCACAGCGGAUGAAUACUUACUUAUAAAUGUAAGUACUGUGGCAAAGACUUCACUGUCUCCUCAAGUCUAAUUGGACAAACAAGAGCACACUGGAGAGAGGCCCUAUAAAUGUAAAGAACGUGGGAAAGCCUCUACCUCAGCCUCAUGUCUGAUUGUUCAUAAGAGAACUCACACUGGAGAGAAACCCUAUGAAUGUAAGGAGUGUGGGAAAGCUCACAAGAGGUGUUACCUACUGACUGGACAUAUAAAGACUCACACGGGGGAAAAGCCUUUUGACUAUAAGNNNNNNNNNNNNNNNNNNNNNNNNNNNNNNNNNNNNNCAAAAGGAUGGACCAUCUAGAGACUGCCAUAUCCGGGGAUCCAUCCCAUAAUCAGCUUUCAAACGAUGACACCAUUGCAUACACUAGCAAGAUUUUGCUGAAAGGACCCAGAUAUAGCUGUCUCUUGUGAGACUAAGAUUCACUGUUUCUUCUAGCCUUGCUGAACAUGUAAGGACUCAGAGGUGAGAAGCCCUACACAUGUGAGGAAUGUGGGAAAGCUUUUACAACAUUCUCAGACCUCUGUCACCAUUCAGAUUCAUGAUAGAGAAACUAAGUAUCAAAAGUGUGGAAAAAAUGCAGUAAGUUUUAUCUGCUAACGGAACAUUUAAUAAAUCAGUCUGAACAGAAACCCUUUGGUUGGAAAGAAUGUCGAAAGCCCUUCAAGAAUUCUCCACAUCUUAAUCAUCAUAAUGGAGUUUACACUGGUGAGAAGCCUUAUUAAUGAAAGAAGUGUGGGUUAGCCUUCAAACCAGCUCACUUGAAAGACAUAAAAGCUCUCUUGUUCUCAAGAUGCCCAUGAAUUUAAGAAACACAUGAGAGUCACUGGAAUGUCAUUAAAGUGCACUAUUUUAUAAGCUCCCCCUGGAGCCAUGUGAUGUCACAAAUAUGAAAGCCCUACUUGCUGAGGACUUGUUAAAUAGGUAAGAUUUUACAGUGGAGAAACUGUUGUGAGUAACAUGGAAAAGGGGUCAUUUUGCUAAAUUCUUUACAUUCACUGUCAUCUCACAGUGGAGAUGAUUAAGGUAAGGAAGGUUACAAACUCAAUUUUCUCUGCAUAUUGUUCAACCUUCAAUAAAAAUGGUGGUUUAUAACCAAG
ensembl:antisense Fbxl12os F-box and leucine-rich repeat protein 12, opposite strand